rfam:Candidatus Staskawiczbacteria bacterium RIFCSPLOWO2_01_FTLL_37_25b rifcsplowo2_01_scaffold_144052, whole genome shotgun sequence.
UCAGGAAAUUUUUUACGCUGUUAGACGGAUAGCUUGGUUUUGGUUUUGACGAAGGACGUGGCAAGCUGCGAUAAGUCUGGGGGAGUUGCAUGCAGGCUUUGAUCCCAGAAUUUCCGAAUGCGUCGAGAGACGGAAUCACGCCGGGAAUUGAAACAUCUUAGUACCGGCAGGAAAAGAAAAUAAAAAUGAUUCCCUUAUUAGCAGAGAGCGAAAAGGGAAGAGGGCAAACUGAAUCUUCUUUUGAAAAAGAGAUAGAGAUGUGGUGAAGAUCUAAACCUAAGUCAGUGAUUUGAACUUUGCUGGAAAGCAAGACCUUAGAAGGUGAAAGUCCUGUAAGAUAAAUUGAUAUGGAGCACUUCAAAGAGUAGGGCGUCCUGGAUUGGGCGUCUGAAUACAGCGGGAUUAACCGCUAACCCUAAAUAAAACCAAAGUCCGAUAGUGAACUAGUACCGCGAGGGAAAGCUGAAAAGUACUCUUAAUAGAGGGUUAAAAGACUUGAAAUCUAACAGCUACAUAUGGUUACUGCUCUUCGGAGUUGUAACGUACGUUUAGAAAAACGGGCCAGGGAGUUAUUCUAUGUGGCGAGGCUAAUCUUAGGAGUAACCGAAGGGAAACCAAGUAUGAAAAUGCGAAAGUCACAUGGAUUAGACCUGAAGCCAGAUGAUCUACUUAUGAGCAAGGUGAAGUCUCUUGAAAGGGGGAUGGAGGCCUGAACUGGUGUUAUGUGCAUGUACUCAAAUGACUUGUGAGUAGGGGUGAAAAGCCUAUCGAAUCUGGCGAUGGCUGGUUCCUGCUGAAAUAUGCCUACGUAUAGUCUUGUUUAGGCUGUUAGUGGUGUAAAGUACGGAUGGAAAUUGCAGGGGCGAUUGCCUACGGAUUUCUUUCCAACUCAGAAACUACUAACUCCAUAGAACAAGAAUCAGGGGCAGUAUGUAAGAUACUGUUCCGAGAGGGGAACAACCCAGACCAAAGUUAAGGUCCCAAAAUUUCUGCUAAGUGUAUCAAACAGUGUCUUGAACCUGAGACACUAGGGAUGUAAGCUUAGAAGCAGCUAUCAUUUAAAGAAAGCGUAACAGCUCACCUAUCGAGGUUCAGGGCCUGGAAAAUGGACGGGGCUAAGCAGAAUACCGAUACUUCGGCGGCAUUCAGAUGAAUGUUCGGGUAAGCAGGCGAGGUUUUUGCGCAGAAGCAUGUUCGAGAGAAUGUGUGGAGCGAAAACUUAUGAGAAUCCUGGUAAUAGUAGGAUGAGNNNNNNNNNNNNNNNNNNNNNNACUUAUGAGAAUCCUGGUAAUAGUAGGAUGAGAUUAUACUGAGAAUGUAUAAGGUCGUAAGGGCAAGGUUUCCUCGGCAAUAUAUGUUAACCGAGGGUUAGUCAGGGCCUAAGUUGCGUCUUAACUGAGCGUGACGAUGGACAUCAGGUUAAUAUUCCUGAACUAAUUAAUUUUACAUAAUGCAAUUCGCUUUCGGAUAGGCGUGCAUUCGGAAGAAUGUUUUAGAAAGAAAUCUGUUGAGGGUAAUCCACAGACGCAGAUGAAUUCCUAAAUCGUCGCUGAUUCCAAGAGCCAGUGAAAAGAUUGUAUUCUUGAUUAAUUACCUGUACCCAUAACCGACACUGGUGCCCUAGCUGAGAAGGCUAAGACCUGAAGGAUUAAACCAGUUAAGGGAAUUCGGCAAAUUGGCCCUGUAGCUUCGGCUGAAGGGGUGUCUAUUUUUGUGUGUUUCGAAAGUUGCAUGCAUUGAUAGAUCUCAGUAACAAGGAUGGUUCGACUGUUUACCAAAAACGUAGCCAAGUGCUAUUCCGAAAGGACGUGUAUACUUGGUGAGACCUGCCCAGUCGUGGUGUGUCAAACUCUUUUUCAAGGGAGCUAAGCCCCAUGAAACGGCGGGGGUAACUAUGACCCUCAAUCUUAGGGGGUGUUUAAAUCUGGCUGUAUGCUGGAAACUCCUGUUAAGUUAUUGAUACUUGGCGUUUAUCGUCAGUAAAAAUUCAAUAAAUAGGGACAAUCAGCAGGAAACCAAAAGUUUAAAUAUCUGACCUUCUAUAAAAGGUCAUGAACAAAGAACAGUUUGUGUAUUAUCUGACUGGAUUUAUGGAUGGCGAGAGUUGCUUUUGCAUUGCUCUCAAAAACCAGAAAUCUGCAAAAGUGAGAUGGGUUCUUGAUCCAGUAUUUCAUGUAACACAACAUUCAAUCAAUAAAGAAAUUCUAUAUGAACUUCAAAGGUUGUUUGGAUGUGGAGUUGUUAUAAAAAAAUACGGGCAACCCGACACAAUGCAAUUUGUAAUCCAGAGUAGAAAAGAUUUGGUCGAUAAGAUUAUUCCUUUUUUUAGAAAGUAUGAACUAAUCACGAAGAAAAAGGAUUUUGAAAUAUUUGCAGAAGUUGUUGAUGCAUUAAAUCAGCACAAACACGCAGAUAUUAAUGAAUUUAAGAAACUUCUGAGAAAAGUUUUUACAAUGAAUGGAGGAGGAAAACAACGAAGAUAUAAACUGGAUGAUGUUCUAAAAUCAUUGGGAUCCUCAGAGACUAUACGCCAGACGUGAAAGAUAUCUGGUGUGACCCAAAUUUAAGGGAAGCGCCGUGAGAGAAACCGUGGUGUCUUUUACGAUGAUAUAGUCCGACCUGCAUGGAAACAUGCAGAGGCUCGUUCGCACGAGUCCGCCGUAAUUUCAUUAAAGAGAUUAUGGUUUGUAGUUUUCUCGACGAGAAAAUGAAAGUAACAGUUUGCUUAAGGUAGCGUAAUGCCUUGUCGUCUGAAUGGCGACGUGCAUGAAUGGUUUAACGAAAUUGUCACUGUCCCUAGCUGGAAUCCUCUGAAAAUAUUUUUUCCGGUGCAAAAGCCGGAGACACCUAGUGGGAAGCUAAGACCUUGUGGAACUUUACUGCAACUUGUUGUUGUGAUUUUAUAUUGGAUGCAUAGAAUAAGUAGGAGCGUCGAAAUUAGAAUUUCGGUUCUGAUGGAGCAAAAGUGUAAUACUACUCAUCUUUUAUAAAAUUGCUUACUGUUUACAGGACAGCAGCAGGCGGGCAGUUUGGCUGGGGCGGCACCCUGCCGAAAAGAUAUCGGUAGGACCCAAAGACAAACUCAUCCAGCUUGGAAAUCUGGAGUUGAGUGUGAGGGCAAAAGUUUGUCUGACUGUAUUUUGAAAAGCAAGAAAUGCAGGAGAGAAAUCUGGGCCUAGUGAACCCACAUGCUCAUUUAAUAGGAGCUGUGUCUGAUAGAAAAGUUACCCCAAGGAUAAUAGGCUUGUCUCCUCCAAUAGUCCGAAUUGACGAGGAGGUUUGGUACUUCGCUGUCGGCUCUCCCUAUCCUGCGCGUGCAGUAGCGUGCAAGGGUGUCGGAGUUCACGCAUUAAAAGGGAUCGUUAGCUGGGUUAAGAACGUCGCGAGACAGUUUGUAUGAUAUCUACUAGGUGUGUUAUUGUCUGAGUGGAACGAGCUUCUAGUACGAGAGGAACGGGGCUUGGGUGCCUCUGGUGAGCAGUUGUCAUUGGCAGGCUGCGUAGCUACGCACUGUAUGGAUAAGAGCUGAAUGCAUCUAAGCUCGAAGCCAUCCGCAAAACGAGACAAUCAAGGCCGUCGUAAAAGACGACGUUGAUAGAGCUCUUGUGUAAGAUUCAAGCGCGCAAGUGCGAGAAUUUCAGCAUAGAGCUACUAAAAGCUUUACUUUUUUUGAGA